rnacentral:lncRNA from 1 species
UUUUCCUGCCAAAACAGAAAAUACACCCCUUCAGUUCAUGACUCUGGCCUUUGUAAAAGUUGCCAUAAUUCUAUUAGAAGCUUAUCAAAGAGAAUACCUUCUUACCAUCCGUCAGCUGCUGCAUACUAACAUGCAUACAUAGAGACUUACUUCCCUUUCCAACAGGUGAAUACGCUGCAAUUCCCCAUUAGCUUUGCUAUUUUUGUUGUUUGGAUUGUGCGGCAAAGGGUUAAGCAGCUAUUGAAGAAGGGCAGGCGCACCAGCAAGCAAUCCAUAAUACGGAAGGCAAGUGCUUUACAGAUGAAAACAAGCCAUAGUGCUCAUCUCAAGGAUUUUAUAAUCUCAAGCAUCAGCAUCAAAAUACACUGAAGAUAAAUUAUGGACCAUAUAACAAGAACAGAUGAGCUGUGGUAAUCAUAUAAUCAUUGUGAAUGCUUUAUUGAUUUAUGCUUUCUAAGGCAUAAGUUUAAAAGAUGAAGGGAGGAGCUACAGAACUUGGAAUGGCAUGAGUUGGCAUGAAGACGAAUGAAAGAAGAAGUUAGAAGUAAGUCCCGAGUCAGUGAAGUACCUACCAUUCUGCUUGUCUAGCACAGGAUGUUUCAUCUUAGCAUCUAAUGGAACUCAGGCAUCCAAAUAGAUUUACAAAAUUUGAGUUAAACAACUAAACCAAAGCAUUCAUAUCUUCCAUUGCUAAAGAGGAUACACACUGAUUUUUAGCAACAAUUAAAAAUUGCCAUAUGAUUUUGAUGGCCUACAUACAAUCCAGGCCCCUUACUGCUCACCGUAGAUGUGAACUUAGAAGAUAAUUUUAAAGUCAGUUUUCCUGUGACAAGGGAAUGCUUGUCAGAAGUUAGAUAGAGCCUGACUAGUUAAUAAAUUGCUUUCGGGCUCUGCUAGAAGAUCA